UACGAAGGGGGCUAGCGUUGUUCGGAAUCACUGGGCGUAAAGCGCACGUAGGCGGAUCGCUAAGUCGGGGGUGAAAUCCCGAGGCUCAACCUCGGAACUGCCUUCGAUACUGGCGAUCUUCGAGUCCGGGAGAGGUGAGUGGAACUCCUAGUGUAGAGGUGGAAUUCGUAGAUAUUAGGAAGAACACCAGUGGCGAAGGCGGCUCACUGGCCCGGUACUGACGCUGAGGCGGCGAAAAGC
rnacentral:rRNA from 1 species